GCAGGAAGUAGUUUAAGUAGAAUA
rnacentral:tRNA from 1 species